rnacentral:rRNA from 1 species
AGUGAACGCUGGCGGUAGGCCUAGCACAUGCAAGUCGAACGGCAACACCCUACGAGCUUGCUCUUCUCGGUGGCCAAUCGCGGACGGGUCACGUAUACAUCGGAAUCUACUUUUUCGUGGGGGUUCACGUAGCGAAGCUUACGCUCAUACCGCAUACGCCCUACCGUUGAGGGCGGGGGAACUUCUCGCCUUUCGCGGUUGGAUUAGCCGCUGUCGGAUUUGCUAGUUGGCGGGGUAAAUGCCUACCAAGGCGACGAUUCGUAGCUCGUCUGGGAGGCGGAUCAGCCACACUGGAACUGAGACACGGUCCAGACUCCUACGGGAGGCAGCAGUGGGGAAUAUUAGACAAUGGGCGCAAGCCUGAUCCAGCCAUACCGCGUGGGUGAAGAAGGCCUUCGGGUUGUAAAGCCCUUUUGUUGGGAAAGAACAGCAUCAGGUUAAGACCCCGCUGUUCUGACGGUACUCAAAGAAUAAGCACCGGCUAACUUCGUG